GAUGAACGCUAGCUACAGGCUUAACACAUGCAAGUCGAGGGGAAACGACAUCGAAAGCUUGCUUUUGAUGGGCGUCGACCGGCGCACGGGUGAGUAACGCGUAUCCAACUUGCCCAUCACUUGGGAAUAACCUUGCGAAAGUAAGACUAAUGCCCAAUGACAUUUAUAGAAGGCAUCUGAAAUGAAUUAAAGAUUUAUCGGUGAUGGAUGGGGAUGCGUCUGAUUAGCUUGUUGGCGGGGUAACGGCCCACCAAGGCGACGAUCAGUAGGGGUUCUGAGAGGAAGGUCCCCCACAUUAGAACUGAGACACGGUCCAAACUCCUACGGGAGGCAGCAGUGAGGAAUAUUGGUCAAUGGGCGAGAGCCUGAACCAGCCAAGUAGCGUGCAGGACGACGGCCCUAUGGGUUGUAAACUGCUUUUAUAAGGGAAUAAAGUGGGUCACGUGUGACUUUUUGCAUGUACCUUAUGAAUAAGGACCGCUAAUUCCGUGCCAGCAGCCGACGG
rnacentral:rRNA from 1 species